UACGUAGGGAGCAAGCGUUGUCCGGAAUCAUUGGGCGUAAAGCGCGCGUAGGCGGCCCCGUAAGUCCGCUGUGAAAGUCAAAGGCUCAACCUUUGAAAGCCGGUGGAUACUGUGGGGCUAGAGUCCGGAAGAGGCGAGUGGAAUUCCUGGUGUAGCGGUGGAAUGCGCAGAUAUCAGGAGGAACACCAAUAGCGAAGGCAGCUCGCUGGGACGGUACUGACGCUAAGGCGCGAAAGCGUGGGGAGCGAAC
rnacentral:rRNA from 2 species